rnacentral:lncRNA from 1 species
CAGUACUAGGCGAGUUUGUUAGGCAUGCGAACGGCGAGAAAAUGCCGAAAAGAUGCGUUGUUGCCGGUUGUAACAACAUAGGAGAUAAGGAAAAAGAAAUAUCGUUGCAUGCAAUUUCUUAUUCGGGGGACGAACGGCCCGAAGCGAAAAAAAUACGAAAGAAAUGGAAGCCUCAAACGUGCAAAAUUAUGGACGCCGACGUCGUAUUCAGUCAUAUGCUCUGAGCAUUUCAAGCCCGAGGAUUUUUUGCGACGGUUUUCCCAUGUCGAAGGUGAAAGCUUCGUUGGCAACAGAUGGCUCAAAAGGGACGAGAUCGGAAUUUGUGUAUUCCCAACAAUCAUGCCAUCAGCUGACGCACAGAAAGUUUCAGACAGAUACAAGAGAAUG